rnacentral:rRNA from 1 species
AUUGAACGCUGGCGGCAGGCCUAACACAUGCAAGUCGAGCGGAUGACGGGAGCUUGCUCCUCGAUUCAGCGGCGGACGGGUGAGUAAUACCUAGGAAUCUGCCUGAUAGUGGGGGACAACGUUUCGAAAGGAACGCUAAUACCGCAUACGUCCUACGGGAGAAAGCAGGGGACCUGCGGGCCUUGCGCUAUCAGAUGAGCCUAGGUCGGAUUAGCUAGUUGGUGAGGUAAGGGCUAACCAAGGCGACGAUCCGUAACUGGUCUGAGAGGAUGAACAGUCACACUGGAACUGAGACACGGUCCAGACUCCUACGGGAGGCAGCAGUGGGGAAUAUUGGACAAUGGGCGAAAGCCUGAUCCAGCCAUGCCGCGUGUGUGAAGAAGGUCUUCGGAUUGUAAAGCACUUUAAGUUGGGAGGAAGGGCAGUAAGCUAAUACCUUGCUGUUUUGACGUUACCGACAGAAUAAGCACCGGCUAACUCUGUGCCAGCCGCCGCCGUAAAAC